GCACUCCCUCGUGCUGAGCUGCUACGAAGCCCCUGCCGGCGAGCUCGUAGGAGCUUGGAACCGUUGUCACCCCUCCGUGUCUCACCAGGGGGAAAAAAUGGUUGAAGCAGAUCGCCCAGGAAAGCUUUUCAUUGGUGGCCUCAAUACAGAAACAAAUGAAAAAGCCCUUGAAGCAGUAUUUGGCAAAUAUGGACGAAUAGUGGAAGUUCUAUUGAUGAAAGAUCGUGAAACCAACAAAUCGAGAGGAUUUGCUUUUGUCACCUUUGAGAGCCCAGCAGAUGCUAAGGAUGCAGCCAGAGACAUGAAUGGAAAGUCCUUAGAUGGAAAAGCCAUCAAAGUAGAACAGGCCACUAAACCAUCAUUUGAAAGUGGUAGACGUGGACCACCUCCACCUCCAAGAAGCAGAGGCCCUCCAAGAGGUCUUAAAGGCGGAAGAGGAGGAAGUGGAGGAACCAGGGGACCUCCCUCACGUGGAGGGCACAUGGAUGAUGGUGGCUAUUCCAUGAAUUUUAACAUGAGUUCUUCCAGGGGACCACUUCCAGUAAAAAGAGGACCACCACCACGAAGUGGUGGUCCUCCUCCUAAAAGAUCUGCCCCUUCAGGACCAGUUUGCAGCAGCAGUGGAAUGGGAGGAAGAGCUCCUGUGUCACGCGGAAGAGAUAGUUAUGGAGGCCCACCUCGACGGGAACCCCUGCCGUCUCGUAGAGAUGUUUAUUUGUCCCCAAGAGAUGAUGGAUACUCUACUAAAGACAGCUAUUCAAGCAGAGAUUACCCAAGUUCUCGUGAUACAAGAGAUUAUGCACCACCACCAAGAGAUUAUACUUACCGUGAUUAUGGUCAUUCCAGUUCACGUGAUGACUACCCAUCGAGAGGCUAUAGUGAUAGAGAUGGCUAUGGUCGUGAUCGUGACUAUUCAGAUCAUCCAAGUGGAGGUUCCUACAGAGAUUCAUAUGAGAGUUAUGGUAACUCACGUAGUGCUCCACCUACACGAGGGCCCCGCCAUCUUAUGGUGGAAGCAGUCGCUAUGAUGAUUACAGCAGCUCACGUGACGGAUAUGGUGGAAGUCGAGACAGUUACUCAAGCAGCCGAAGUGAUCUCUACUCAAGUGGUCGUGAUCGGGUUGGCAGACAAGAAAGAGGGCUUCCCCCUUCUAUGGAAAGGGGGUACCCUCCUCCACGUGAUUCCUACAGCAGUUCAAGCCGCGGAGCACCAAGAGGUGGUGGCCGUGGAGGAAGCCGAUCUGAUAGAGGGGGAGGCAGAAGCAGAUAUUAAAAACAAACAAAACUUUGGACCAAAAUCCCUGUUCAAAGAAACAAACAAAAAAGUGGAACCUUUUCUGUCAUAACUACCCAAGGACUACUAAAAGGAAAAAUUGUGUUACUUUUUUUUUUUAAUUUCCUGUUAAGUUCCCCUUCCAUAAUUUUUAUGUUCUUGUGAGG